AUGCUCCCCAGUGUCCCCAGCCCUGCCUGGGCCCCUCCCAGAGCUCAGAGACUGUUCUUCUUCCAACAUCACUUGUUUUCCUCAUUCCUUAUCUCCUCUACUGAUGUCUUGAGGGCUGUGAGGGUACCUUAGUCAUCUUUGUAUCACACACAGUGCCUGACGCAGUGCCCCAGGAGGUGCCACGGAAGGACUCAGCAGAUGUCCCCCAAGGGAUCGAGGUGUUUGAAGCUGUGAUCUCAUGGAUCAAUUAUGAGAAAGGAACCCGUUUAGAGCACAUGGCAAAGCUGAUGGAACAUGUCCGACUUCCUCUCUUACCUAGGGACUACCUAGUCCAAACGGUUGAAGAAGAAGCUUUGAUAAAGAAUAACAACACCUGUAAAGACUUCCUCAUUGAGGCCAUGAAAUACCAUCUGCUCCCUCUGGAUCAGAGGCUAUUGAUUAAGAACCCAAGGACCAAGCCCAGGACUCCAGUCAGCCUUCCCAAGGUCAUGAUUGUGGUUGGCGGCCAGGCACCCAAGGCAAUCCGCAGUGUGGAGUGCUAUGAUUUCGAGGAGGACCGGUGGGAUCAGAUUGCUGAGCUUCCCUCCAGAAGAUGCAGAGCAGGUGUGGUGUUCAUGGCUGGCCACGUGUAUGCCGUGGGAGGGUUUAAUGGCUCACUGCGGGUGCGGACAGUGGAUGUGUAUGACGGCGUGAAGGACCAGUGGACGUCCAUUGCCAGCAUGCAGGAGCGCCGGAGCACACUGGGCGCAGCGGUGCUCAAUGACUUGCUCUACGCAGUGGGAGGCUUUGAUGGCAGUACUGGGAAGCUAUAUGCUGUUGGGGGUUAUGAUGGAGCUUCCCGCCAGUGUCUGAGCACUGUGGAGCAGUACAACCCAGCGACCAAUGAAUGGAUAUACGUGGCGGACAUGAGCACCCGCCGCAGU
rnacentral:sRNA from 1 species